rnacentral:rRNA from 1 species
AUGUGUUAACUACACGAAACUACGUGAGCUAACUAUCAAUGUAUAUUAUGUAACAUAAUAAUAACUCGAGUGGUAGUUAGGGGUGAUAGGCUUCCCAAACGUAAGAUAUCUUGAUUCUUACAACAUGUAAUAGUACUAAGACAGUUUAAGAGUAAUAAGGCUCUUAAAAAUAAUAAAUUUUUAUUGAAACACUAAGUUGGUUUAAUAACCUACAUUCAAAGUAUAAUAAAAUUAAUUUACUCAAUUUAUUUAGCUUAGUAAGACUCAAUAAAUUUUAAACCAUGAUUAUAAUGUUUUCAUGAGUAUUAAGAAGUUAUUAAUAGUGAAUUCGGCAUCUUUGCUUUCAACUGUUUACCAAAAACAUAGCCACGUGUAUUUAUACGUGGUAUUUUCUGCUCAAUGAUUAUUAAAUAGCCGCAGUACCCUGACUGUGCAAAGGUAGCGUAAUCAUUUGUCUCUUAAUUGGAGUCGUGUAUGAAGGAAUAAAUGGGGGCAAUCUUUACCAUUAAUAAAUUUAAAAAUUACUUAGUGGGUGCAAAUUCCCAUAAAUAAUAAAUAGACGAGAAGACCCUAGAAAUUUGUAUAAAUGUUUUGUUGGGGCAACAUAGUAGCAAAUUAAUCUACUUUAUGAAUAUGACAAAUUAUAGAUAAAUAAAAUUACUCUAGGGAUAACAGCAUAAUUUAUAAAUGUUUGUGACCUCGAUGUUGGAUUAGGGAGUUGUUGUUUUAGA